AGCCUCGUGGUGUAGUGGCAAUCACAUCGGACUUUGAAUCCGAGCACAUCCGUUCGAAUCGGGUCGAGGCUU
rnacentral:tRNA from 1 species